AUUGAACGCUGGCGGCAGGCCUAACACAUGCAAGUCGAGCGGAGCGGCGGACGGGUGAGUAAUGCCUAGGAAUCUGCCUGGUAGUGGGGGAUAACGUCCGGAAACGGACGCUAAUACCGCAUACUAUCAGAUGAGCCUAGGUCGGAUUAGCUAGUAGGUGGGGUAAAGGCUCACCUAGGCGACGAUCCCUAGCUGGUCUGAGAGGAUGACCAGCCACACUGGAACUGAGACACGGUCCAGACUCCUACGGGAGGCAGCAGUGGGGAAUAUUGCACAAUGGGCGCAAGCCUGAUACAGCCAUGCCGCGUGUGUGAAGAAGGCCUUCGGGUUGUAAAGCACUUUCAGCGAGGAGGCGUUACUCGCAGAAGAAGCACCGGCUAACUCCGUGCCAGCAGCCGCGGUAAUGC
rnacentral:rRNA from 1 species